UGUAAUAUUAGGCCUAAAGGGAAAAAGAAGAUUGAGUGGAAAUGCUCCCCGAUAGACUGUAUGAAAAAAUGGCUAUGUCAUGUCCUGUCAGUGAAAAUGCAUGUGAAGGAACUAGACCAGCUAUGGAAGCCAUGUUACCAGAGAAAGAGGCUAAAGAUUAUCAUCAUAUGACAGAUGGAGUUAACUUUACCCAGAAAUCGGUUUCAAAUUUAGAGUUAACAGAGUUAGAUGGUGAUGUAGGAUAUUCUAGUCACGGAACACAAGAUGACAGUUCUCAAAAAUCAGCUGAUCAAAUUAACCAUUGGCAGGAUUUUAAUCAAGAUGAGUUAAUGCACGGGAACAACGAUUUAGACGACCUGUUAUUUCAUUUUAAUAACUUUUUCAAGGAGAAAUUUGACAGUGAGCUAGAGAAUUUCCAGAACUCUAUGAGAAGUAUGUUAAGAGAACAACAGAUUCACAUUCGACAGAUUGUUCAUUCUACUAGUUGCUCAGACAGAGACGAGAUUGUGUCAGAUUCUCCACAACAUCAUAUGGAAACCUGUGAUGUGCAUAUAGCAAGUACCACAAAUAAUUCAAAUCCAGAGGAUACGGCGUUUUCAGAGAAUGAAAAUCAUCUGGAAGUGUUUAAAGAGGAAUCCAAGAGUGAGCUUAUACAAGAACUGUUGUCUUUAUCAUGUGGCAUAACAAGAAUAUUACAUGAUGCUAAAUACAGACUUUGAUAAAUCCACA